GAUGACGCUGGCGGCGUGCCUAAUACAUGCAAGUCGAACGAGCUUCUCGAUUAUUGAAGGGUGCUUGCUUCUUGAUUUAAUUUUGAACGAGGGGCGGACGGGUGAGUAACACGGGGGUAACCUGCCCUUAAGUGGGGGAUAACAUUUGGAAACAAAUGCUAAUACCGCAUAAAUCCAGGAACCGCAGGGUUCUUGGCUGAAAGAUGGCGUAGGCUAUCGCUUUUGGAUGGACCCGCGGCGUAUUAGCUAGUUGGUGAGGUAACGGCUCACCAAGGCAAUGAUACGUACCCAAACUGAGAGGUUGAUCGGCCACUUUGGGACUGAAACACGGCCCAAACUCCUACGGGAGGCAGCAGUAGGGAAUCUUCCACAAGGGACACAAGUCUGAUGGAGCAACCCCGCGUGAGUGAAAAAGGUUUUCGGGUCGUAAAACUCUGUUGUUGGAAAAAAAUGGUCGGAAGAGUAACUGUUGUCGGCGUGACGGUUCCAACCAAAAAGCCACGGCUAACUACGUGCCAGCAGCCGCGGUAAUACGUAGGUGGCAAGCGUUAUCCGGAUUUAUUGGGCGUAAAGCAAGCGCAGGCGGUUUUUUAAGUCUGAUGUGAAAGCCCUCGGCUUAACCGAGGAAGUGCAUCGAAAACUGGAAAACUUGAGUGCAAAAGAGGACAGUGGAACUCCAUGUGUAGCGGUGAAAUGCGUAGAUAUAUGGAAGAACACCAGUGGCGAAGGCGGCUGUCUGGUCUGUAACUGACGCUGAGGCCUCGAAAGCAUGGGUAGCGAACAGGAUUAGAUACCCUGGUAGUCCAUGCCGUAAAACGAUGAAUGCUAGGUGUUGGAGGGUUUCCGCCCUUCAGCUGCCGCAGCUAACGCAUUAAAGCAUUCCGCCUGGGGAGUACGACCGCAAGGUUGAAACUCAAAGGAAUUGACGGGGGCCCGCACAAGCGGUGGAGCAUGUGGUUUAAUUUGAAGCAACGCGAAGAACCCUACCAGGUCUUGACAUCUUUUGAUCACCUGAGAGAUCUGGUUUCCCCUUUGGGGGCAAAAUGACAGGUGGUGCAUGGUUGUUGUCAGCUCGUGUCGUGAGAUGUUGGGUUAAGUCCCGCAACGAGCGCAACCCCUAUGACUAGUUGCCCGCAUUUAGUUGGGCACUCUAGUAAGACUGCCGGGGACAAACCGGAGGAAGGGGGGGAUGACGUCAAAUCAUCAUGCCCCCUAUGACCUGGGGUACACACGUGCUACAAUGGAUGGUACAACGAGUUGCGAGACCGCGAGGUCAAGCUAAUCUCUUAAAACCCUUUUCAGUUUGGGCUGUAGGGUGCAACUCGCCUACACGAAGUCGGAAUCGCUAGUAAUCGCGGAUCAGCCCGCCGCGGGGAAUACGUUCCCGGGCCUUGUACACACCCCCCGUCACACCCUGAGAGUUUGUAACACCCGAAGCCGGGGGGGUAACCCUUUUAGGGAGCGAGCCGUCUAAGGUGGGACAAAUGAUUAGGGGAAGUCGAC
rnacentral:rRNA from 2 species